AAGGGCCCAAGGUCAGCUGACAU
rnacentral:piRNA from 1 species